AGGAUGAACGCUGGCGGCGUGCCUAACACAUGCAAGUCGAACGUCCUGUCUCGCAAGAGGCAGGGAGUGGCGGACGGGUGAGUACCACGUGGGUCAUCUACCGUGAGGUGAGGAAUACCGGCGAGAAAUCGCCGACAAGACCGCAUAGGCUCGAUGCAAGUCGAGCAAAGCUCUUUCGAGAGAGGGAGCGCCACACGAGGAGCCUGCGCCCGAUUAGCUAGCUGGUGGAGUAACGGUUCACCAGGGCGACGAUCGGUAGCUGGUCUGAGAGGACGAUCAGCCACACUGGGAUUGAGAACGGCCCAGACUCCUACGGGGGGCAGCAGUGAGGAAUUUUCGCAAUGGGGGCAACCCUGAACGAGCAACGCCGCGUGCAGGAAGAGGUUUUCGGAUCGUAAACUGCUUUUCUCGGGGAAGAGAACGGACGGUACCCGAGGAAUCGAGCCCCGGCUAACUACGUGCCAGCAGCCGC
rnacentral:rRNA from 1 species